GUGAGGAAUAUUGCGCAAUGGAGGCAACUCUGACGCAGCCAUGCCGCGUGCAGGAAGAAGGCGCUACGCGUUGUAAACUGCUUUUAACCGGGAAGAAACCCCAGGACGUGUCCUGGGUUGACGGUACCGGAGGAAUGAGCACCGGCUAACUUCGUGCCAGCAGCCGCGGUAAUACGAAGGGUGCAAGCGUUAUCCGGAUUCAUUGGGUUUAAAGGGUGCGUAGGCGGAGCGUUAAGUCAGUGGUGAAAUCCUGCAGCUUAACUGUAGACUUGCCAUUGAUACUGGCGCUCUUGAGUGCGCUUGAAGUGGGCGGAAUGUGCCGUGUAGCGGUGAAAUGCUUAGAUAUGGCACAGAACACCAAUUGCGAAGGCAGCUCACUAAGGCGAUACUGACGCUGAGGCACGAAAGCGUGGGGAUCGAACAGGAUUAGAAACCCCGGUAGUCC
rnacentral:rRNA from 1 species